rnacentral:rRNA from 1 species
AGUGAACGCUGGCGGUAGGCCUAACACAUGCAAGUCGAACGGCAGCACAGUAAGAGCUUGCUCUUACGGGUGGCGAGUGGCGGACGGGUGAGGAAUACAUCGGAAUCUACUUUUUCGUGGGGGAUAACGUAGGGAAACUUACGCUAAUACCGCAUACGACCUACGGGUGAAAGCAGGGGAUCUUCGGACCUUGCGCGAUUGAAUGAGCCGAUGUCGGAUUAGCUAGUUGGCGGGGUAAAGGCCCACCAAGGCGACGAUCCGUAGCUGGUCUGAGAGGAUGAUCAGCCACACUGGAACUGAGACACGGUCCAGACUCCUACGGGAGGCAGAAGUGGGGAAUAUUGGACAAUGGGCGCAAGCCUGAUCCAGCCAUACCGCGUGGGUGAAGAAGGCCUUCGGGUUGUAAAGCACUUUUGUUGGGAAAGAAAAGCAGCAGGUUAAUACCCCGCUGUUCUGACGGUACCCAAAGAAUAAGCACCGGCUAACUUCGUG